rnacentral:rRNA from 1 species
UACGUAGGGUGCGAGCGUUAAUCGGAAUUACUGGGCGUAAAGCGUGCGCAGGCGGUCCGCAAAGUCUGAUGUGAAAGCCCCGGGCUCAACCUGGGAACUGCAUUGGAAACUAACGGGCUCGAGUGUGGCAGAGGGGGGUGGAAUUCCACGUGUAGCAGUGAAAUGCGUAGAGAUGUGGAGGAACACCGAUGGCGAAGGCAGCCCCCUGGGCUAACACUGACGCUCUGGCACGAAAGCGUGGGGAGCAAACAGG